UACUCCUACGGGAGGCAGCAGUGGGGAAUAUUGCACAAUGGGCGCAAGCCUGAUGCAGCCAUGCCGCGUGUAUGAAGAAGGCCUUCGGGUUGUAAAGUACUUUCAGCGAGGAGGAAGGCGUUAAGGUUAAUAACCYUGGCGAUUGACGUUACCCGCAGAAGAAGCACCGGCUAACUCCGUGCCAGCAGCCGCGGUAAU
rnacentral:rRNA from 1 species